AAACUUGAGAGUUUGAUCAUGGCUCAGAACGUACGCUGGCGGCACGCCUAACACAUGCAAGUCGAACGAAGUAGCAAUACUUAGUGGCAGACGGGUGAGUAACAUGUAGGUAUCUGCCCUUUGGCCUGGAAUAACACGAGGAAACUUGUGCUAAUACCGGAUAAGUCUUUACGGAGAAAGCUUUAUGCACCAUUGGAUGAGCCUGCACUUGAUUAGUUUGUUGGUAGGGUAACGGCCUACCAAGACUUUGAUCAAUAGCUGAUUUGAGAGGAUGAUCAGCCACAUUGGGACUGAGACACGGCCCAAACUCCUACGGGAGGCAGCAGUGGGGAAUCUUGCACAAUGGAGGAAACUCUGAUGCAGCGAUGCCGCGUGAGUGAAGAAGGCCCUUGGGUUGUAAAGCUCUUUCGUCGGGGAAGAAAAUGACUGUACCCGAAUAAGAAGGUCCGGCUAACUUCGUGCCAGCAGCCGCGGUAAUACGAAGGGACCUAGCGUAGUUCGGAAUUACUGGGCUUAAAGAGUUCGUAGGUGGUUGAAAAAGUUGGUGGUGAAAUCCCAGAGCUUAACUCUGGAACUGCCAUCAAAACUUUUCAGCUAGAGUUUGAUAGAGGAAAGCAGAAUUUCUAGUGUAGAGGUGAAAUUCGUAGAUAUUAGAAAGAAUACCAAUUGCGAAGGCAGCUUUCUGGAUCAUUACUGACACUGAGGAACGAAAGCAUGGGUAGCGAAGAGGAUUAGAUACCCUCGUAGUCCAUGCCGUAAACGAUGUGUGUUAGACGUUGGAAAUUUAUUUUCAGUGUCGCAGCGAAAGCGAUAAACACACCGCCUGGGGAGUACGACCGCAAGGUUAAAACUCAAAUGAAUUGACGGGGACCCGCACAAGUAGUGGAGCAUGUGGUUUAAUUCGAAGAUACGCGCAGAACCUUACCAACACUUGACAUGUUCGUCGCGACUUUAAGAGAUUAAAGUUUUCGGUUCGGCCGGACGAAACACAGGUGCUGCAUGGCUGUCGUCAGCUCGUGUCGUGAGAUGUUGGGUUAAGUCCCGCAACGAGCGCAACCCUCACUUUUAGUUGCCAUCAUUAAGUUGGGCACUCUGAAAGAACUGCCAGUGAUAAGCUGGAGGAAGGUGGGGAUGACGUCAAGUCCUCAUGGCCCUUACGUGUUGGGCUACACACGUGCUACAAUGGUAUUUACAACAGGAAGCAAGACGGCGACGUUAAGCAAAUCCUUAAAAAAUACCUCAGUUCGGAUUGCACUCUGCAACUCGAGUGCAUGAAGCUGGAAUUACUAGUAAUCGUGGAUCAGCGUGCCACGGUGAAUGCGUUCCCGGGUCUUGUACACACCGCCCGUCACACCAUGGGAGUUGGUUCUACCUUAAGGCAAGGCUUUAAACCCUUGACCACGGUAUAGUCAGCGACUGGGGUGAAGUCGUAACAAGGUAGCCGUAGGGGAACCUGCGGCUGGAUUACCUCCUUU
rnacentral:rRNA from 1 species